CAGCGGUGCUCUGUGAAUAGCGGCCGCAGCCGAAGGAUGGCGGAGUGCCGCAGGGCGGAGGCAUGGCUGCAGCUGUCGGGCAGAGUGAUAUUCUGAAAAUGACCCAUAGAGAAAAUUGGAAGAUACAGCAUGAGAAGCUGCACGUCACGCACCGUGGCCAUGAGGCCAUGCACGCCGAGAUGGUCCUCAUCCUCAUCGCCGCCCUGCUGGUGGCGCAGGUCGUGCUGGUGCAGUGGAAGCAGAGGCACUGCCGGUCCUACAGCCUGGUGACCCUGCUUCAGAUGUGGGUUGUCCCGCUGUACUUCACCAUGAAGCUGUACUGGUGGCGGUUUCUCUCCACGUGGGGGAUGUUCUCAGUCAUAACCAGCUACGUCAUCUUCAGAGCCACCCGGAAGCCCCUGUCAGGCAGGACGCCGCGGAUGGUGUAUAAGUGGUUCCUUCUCAUCUACAAGCUGAGCUAUGCGGUGGGGGUCGUGGGUUACCUCGCCAUCAUGUUCACCAUGUUCGGGUUUAACGUGUUCUUCAGAAUUAAAGCAGAAGACUCGAUGGAUGUUGGCGUCAUUCUCUUGUUUUAUGGCUUGUACUACGGGGUGAUGGGUCGGGACUUCGCAGAGAUAUGCUCGGAUUACAUGGCUUCAACAAUCGGGUACUACAGCGGCGGGGGCGUGCCGUCCAGGAGCCUCUGCCAGGACAUCUGCGCAGUGUGUGGCCAGAAGAUUCUGGUGGAUGUCAAUGAAGAAGGGAUCAUCGAGGACACGUACCAGCUCUCGUGUAAUCACAGAUUCCAUGAAUUCUGCAUCCGGGGAUGGUGCAUCGUGGGUAAGAAGCAGACCUGUCCCUAUUGCAACGAAAAGGUCGACCUUCAGAGAAUGAUGAAUAAUCCCUGGGAGCGGACACACGUUUUGUACGGUCAGCUUUUGGACUGGCUGCGCUACCUUGUUGCAUGGCAACCUGUCAUAAUUGGAAUCGUUCACGGCAUCAACUUCACUUUAGGUCUGGAAUAGCGCCUUUCUGCUUGCCCGUAUGUUUUGGUUCCACAUCUGCUCGUAGUUAUUUUCUGCGCCGUCUGAAUGGACUGAAACUGACCUAUUAAGAUGCCUCUUGUUGACACACUCGGAUACAUCGGACAUUGUAACAAGUUGUUUGCACGUGGAUAUUUUCUAAGACGAUGCAGAGGAACUUGAGAGCUAAAUGAGAUGCUGGUGCUCCAGCACCACACACCUUCCCUCCAGAGCCCGUCCUACCAGAUGUUGUGCUUCCAGAGUCCAUCUCACCAGACCAUAUGCCUCUAGAAUUCAACCUAGGCCCCAAGGAACUCCUGUCCAUAUCUCCAGUCUCUGGCCCAGA